CGAACGCUGGCGGCAUGCCUAACACAUGCAAGUCGAACGGGAUUCCAGGGCUUGCUCUGGAUGAGAGUGGCGGACGGGUGAGUAACACGUGGGUAACGUUCCUUAUAGUUUGGAAUAACCUGCCGAAAGGCGGGCUAAUGCCAAGUAAGCUUUUUGGGGGUUUGCCCUUGAAAAGGAAAGCUGUGCAAGCAGCGCUAUUCGAUCGGCCCGCGUCCCAUCAGCUAGUUGGUGAGGUAACGGCUUACCAAGGCUAUGAUCAGUAGCUGGUCUGAGAGGAUGAUCAGCCACACUGGGACUGAGACACGGCCCAGACUCCUACGGGAGGCAGCAGUGAGGAAUUUUCCGCAAUGGGCGAAAGCCUGACGGAGCAAUGCCGCGUGGAGGAUGAAAGCCUGUGGGUCGUAAACUCCUUU
rnacentral:rRNA from 1 species